rnacentral:rRNA from 1 species
AUACGGAGGAUGCGAGCGUUAUCCGGAUUUAUUGGGUUUAAAGGGUGCGUAGGCGGGACUGUAAGUCAGGGGUGAAAUACUGCAGCUUAACUGUAGCAUUGCCUUUGAAACUGCCGUUCUUGAGUACAGUUGAGGUAGGCGGAAUGUGGUGUGUAGCGGUGAAGUGCAUAGAUAUACCACAGAACGCCGAUUGCGAAGGCAGCUUACUAAGCUGUUACUGACGCUGAGGCACGAAAGCGUGGGGAUCAAACAGGAUUAGAUACCCUGGUAGUCCACGCUGUAAACGAUGAUUACUGGUUGUUAGCGAUAUAUAGCUAGUGACUGAGCGAAAGCAUUAAGUAAUCCACCUGGGGAGUACGUCGGCAACGAUGAAACUCAAAGGAAUUGACGGGG